rnacentral:rRNA from 1 species
CCUACGGGAGGCAGCCGUGAGGAAUAUUGGUCAAUGGACGCAAGUCUGAACCAGCCAUGCCGCGUGCAGGCAGACGGCUCUAUGAGUUGUAAACUGCUUUUGUACGAGGGUAAACGCAGAUACGCGUAUCUGUCUGAAAGUAUCGUACGAAUACGGAUCGGCUAACUCCGUGCCAGCAGCCGCGGUAAUACGGAGGAUUCAAGCGUUAUCCGGAUUUAUUGGGUUUAAAGGGUGCGUAGGCGGUCGGAUAAGUUAGAGGUGAAAUCCCGAGGCUCAACUUCGGAAUUGCCUCUGAGACUGUUCGGCUAGAGAGUAGUUGCGGUAGGCGGAAUGUAUGGUGUAGCGGGGAAAUGCUUAGAGAUCAUACAGAACGCCGAUUGCGAAGGCAGCUUACCAAGCUACUUCUGACGUUGAGGCACGAAAGCGUGGGGAGCAAACAGGAUUAGAUACCCGAGUAGUC